rnacentral:tRNA from 1 species
GGGCGGUUAGCUCAGCGGUAGAGCACUACGUUGACAGCGUCGUGGCCACUGGUUCGAUCCCAGUACCGCCCACCA